rnacentral:lncRNA from 1 species
AGAACCCACAGAAUUUGGUGACUGAUUAGAUAAGGAGCAAGACAAAAAACGUUAACAGUGACUCAGAGGUUUGGUGUCUAUGAGACCAGGGGCCCUAUUUAAAAGAGCUAUUCAUUGCAAAGUCAAGAGGUAAUUUAGGGAAGAAAUAACAAAUUGGCCUGUACACUUGUUGGAUUUAAAAUGCCUUGGCAGGGUGUCUAUGAGAUGUACACCAUGAGGUGGAAAUGUGGGAGAAAUUGAGCCAGAUCAUGAGACACGGCUGAAGGCCAGGUAACCAAGGGAGAGGCUGUGUACAGAAACUCAAGAGGCCCACAGGGUGCUCCCUGACCUGGACAAGUUACUUCAUUUUACUGGGGCUCAGUUUCCUCAUCUAUAAAAUGGAGAAUGAGAGUUAUCUACACAGAACACCUCUAAAUGAACUAACAGACAUUCCCUGAGACCCUACUACGUAUGAAGAACUGUGCCUGGUGCUAUGGAAAAUACAGUCCUUGCCCUCAAAGUGCUUACUCUUCAGUGGGAGUGGUGGAUUAUUAUACUUGUCUUCCAUGGCUUCUUGCUAUUUUGUAUUUGUUACGUUACACAGCUAAUUCAAGACAGAACGUAAUAAAAGCCAUAGAAGAGAUGCAAAGUUUAAUGAGAGGACAAAACAGAGGGACACAUUUGAUGAGAUGGGGA